AUUUAUUGGUACCAUUGUGAGUGCUCUACUGUGAAUGAAUGCAGCUACUUAAAAUACUAUACUCUUGAAAUAUCCAUGUUUACCAUUGUGUUGGUGGUAAUGUAAAGUGUUGUGAAUAUCUGCCAAACUGAUCAUAUUCAUUAUUUCAAGUGUAUUGUAUAGAAUGCAUACUUAUGUUAAAUCCUAUCUUUUAUUGACAGAGCCCUCACAAAUAAACUGAUACCAGGAAUUAACAUACAGUAGAUGGUGAUGGUGGUGGUGGCAAGGUUGCCUUCACAAGGUGCCAAGUCACAAUCUCAGUGUGGAGCCAAAGGCUGCUAUUGCAAGUCAGAUGGGGGACGAUCGAUGUAAGGCAUCAGAAAGGUGGUGUACGUACAAAGGCUGGAGCUGCUGGAGACAGUGUUGCACUUAGAUACUUGAUUUACUGCCGAAGGUACCAUCAGAGCACCACCCUACCCCUGCAGGACCAGAAGAGGACGGACAGGGGGCCAACAUUUUUUAACACUCUGACCAUGGACUAUUUAAACCAUUGAGGUAACGCAGACGUCUGAUCCCACUUGGCUAAAACAGAAGACUGAGGAGGAGUUUCUUUCCUCAUGCCAUUCGCAUCCUGAGCACACAUACUGCAUUACAUGGACUUGCCAUACUGCACUUACACACUGCACUAUUUACCCCC